UGAGGCCAUAGCCCCUCGCCAAUGCCCGAUCUCAUCUGUUCUUGGAAUCUAAGCGAGACCUGGUUAGUACUUGGAUUGGAGAAUGGUGUGGCUCCCUCCAGCCAAGUUGCCUUUCCAU
rnacentral:rRNA from 1 species